CUUCACCGACCCCAGGUACAGCGGCUCUUCCCGGUCCUGCCCGUAGGUGGCCAGCAGCGCCUGCGCCUC
rnacentral:antisense_RNA from 2 species